rnacentral:rRNA from 1 species
AAAUAAAAAAUUUAUUGUAUUUAUUUAUUUCAUAUUUUUAAUAAAAAUAAUUUUAAUAAUUAAAUUUUUUAGUAGAUUUUAUAGAAAAAAUUUUUUUUAAUUAUAAUGUAUUAGUAUUGUAAAAGAUUAUUGAAAUAUUAUUUUAUUUUUAUAAAGUAAAAUUAAUUUUUUGUACCUUGUGUAUCAGGGUUUAUUAAAAAAAAUUUAUUAAUUUUAAUUUUCUCGAAUUUAAGAGAGCUAAUAAAUUAUUUUUUUUAUUGUAAAAAAAAUAUUUAUUAUAAUUUAUUAGUAAUGAAAUGUUAUUCGUUCUUAAAAAUAUCUAGUUUAUUUAGAAAUGAAUUUAAUUCAUAUAUUUUUAUUUUAAUAAUUUAAUUAAUUAAAUUAUUAUAUUUUAAUAUAAAUAAUUAAAGGGUUUAGCUUUUAAUUAAAAAUUUAAAAAUUAAUUUUAUUAUUUUAAAAUGUGUAAGUUUAGAAAUAGCUAUCAGUAAUAAUUUGUUAUAAUUAAUUUAAUUAAAUUAUAUUAUUUUAUAUAAUUUUAAAUUUUUUAUAAAUAAUUAAUUUAUAAUUAUUUAAAUUUAGUUAUAAUGAUAGAAUUAGUAUAUAUUUUAAAUAUUUAUAUAAUAAAAUUAUUAUAGAUUAUUUAAAGGAAUUCGGCAAAAAAUUUACUCGCCUGUUUAACAAAAACAUGUCCUUUAGAUGUUAAUUUAAGGUCUAGCCUGCCCACUGAAUUAAUUUUAAAUGGCCGCAGUAAUUUGACUGUGCAAAGGUAGCAUAAUCAUUAGUUUUUUAAUUAAAAGCUUGUAUGAAAGGUUGGACGAAGUAAAAUCUGUCUCUAAUUAAUUUAAUUUAGAAUUUAACUUUUAAGUCAAAAGGCUUAAAUAUAUUUAAAAGACGAGAAGACCCUAUAGAUCUUUAUAAUUUUAUUUAUUAAAUUUAAUUAUGAAUUUUUAAAAUUUUAUUAAAAAAAUUAUUUUAUUGGGGUAAUAUAAAGAUUAAAAUAAUUCUUUUUUUUUAUUAACAUUAAUUUAUGAUUUUUAUGAUCCAAUUAUAUUGAUUAGAAGAUUAAGUUACCUUAGGGAUAACAGCGUAAUUUUUUUAGAGAGUUCUUAUCGAUAAAAAAGUUUGCGACCUCGAUGUUGGAUUAAAGAUUAUUUUAGGUGCAGAAGUUUAAAAAUUUGGUCUGUUCGACCAUUAAAUCUUUACAUGAUCUGAGUUCAGACCGGUGUAAGCCAGGUCGGUUUCUAUCUUUAGAAAAUUAAAAUAUUUUAGUACGAAAGGACCAAUUAUUUAAUAUAUUAAUAUUUAUAUUUUGAUUAUUAUUAUU